UUUUCGGGCAGCGCAGCGCUUGCGGCGCGCAUGGCGCCGGCGCUCUCGGCGACGGUAGGAGCAAUGAGGACGUACAGCGAGGGACCCCGCUUGCAAGCGCGCGGUCCCCGCUAUUUGUCGGGCCUCGUUGUAGACACUACGGUCAUGCCGGAAGCAGCUCGCAACUAGCCGCCGUCGGCUGAGAGAGCAGCCAGCCAUCGUAGCAUAAAAGACGGUGGCCCAAAAUUGCCGGUGAUGCUGCAGGUGACUCCUCGAGUCAGCUUCCCAAUGAAUGACGCACCGCGCCGGAGCAAAAUCAUCAUCGCAUCAGCUGGCAUUGGCAUCAUUCUGCUUGGGGUGCUCACCAGGUACCUCAGGAGACGUUUUGUUGACUUCAAAAGUGCCGUUGUCAAUGGAGAGGUGGCUAAUGUGGUGUGGUGCGGUCGGUGUCGAUGUGGACGCCGAACCAGCGGCCCCCGUGGGUCUCUGCGCGCACUACAAGGCCCCACAGCUGCGGACCGGGCAUCCAUGGCACACAUGGGACCCCAGCAGCUGGCCAGCUUGGGUCUGGACUCCCUGGACCAAGUGAUCAGCUACUGGGAGCAGGCCCUGCAGCGGAUCAGAACAGGCGGCUCCACUUCUGGCAAUGAGAGCCUGGCCACCAGCCUGGAAUUCCUGCUUGUGGAAGGCCAGCGGCUGCGCGGUGCUGCCCACUGGCGCCUGUUCGCCGAGGGAGGAGGAGUCCCUCCCCUGGCCCUGGAUGACCCGCAGCUGGCUGACUUCACCCACCCCCCCUCUCUGGCCGACACCGAGAGUUUCGUCUCGGCUGAGGGCACGUCCGAUGUAGCAGUGGUGGCUGAUCUGGAGGCCAGCCCAAUUCCCCCGGUGGAGCAGUCAGCUCUGUACAUGGAAGCAUUGGAGCUGCUCAAGAGAGAAGGCAUCCCUUGCCGGACAUACAGGGUGGAAGUGGUUCGGUGCAGCUCACGGGAAGACUACCUGGCCAAGAUCCACUGCAUACGCCUUGCAUUCAAGCGCCUAACAAAUCAGCCAGAUGUUCUCCAGUGGCUUAUAGAAGCAGCCAAUCAUAUUCUUGGAGGCUUCAUGCUGUGUGCUGGAAAAGACCCAAAGGAUGCGCUGCACGCGUACCGUGAGCUGGUUGCCUACCUGCUGGACAGCAGCCACUACGACCAAAUUGCCAAGGAGCUGCAGUACAAAGGGGUGGUGUGCCCAACAGUGUAUGAUGUCGUGAUUGACUACGUCCUCCUGGAUGCCUUUGAUGACCUGAGCAGCCCGCCGCAGUCAGUUGUGGCUGUUAUCCAGAACCGGUGGCUGACCGCAGGGUUCAAGGAAACAGCGCUGUCUGCGGCAAUUUGGUCUCUCUUCAAGGCCAAGAAGGGGCUGCUUCCCUUCUCUCAUGGCUUCUUCUCACACUACUACGCCCUGAUGGAACAAAUUGUGCCCGUGCUUGCCUGGGGCUUUCUGGGCACUGAUAAUGACCUCAAGGAUAUGUGCAAGUUUUUCAAGGCCAGCCUUCAACCUUUCCUAGCCACCCUGACUACGUGCCAGCUGUUUUCACAUACACCCGAACUUCCGGUCAGGCUGCAGCGCAGCGGCACAGUCGUUGCAUGGAUAAAGAGGCAUGUCGGCGGGAUUGAUUGCACCGUUUCUUCGAAGCACAAAGCCGUCCAGAAUACUUGAAGAUGAGCAGCACAACAGAAUUCGCCUCUACAUUGAAGGUGUUCCUCAGCAAACUAUAAGUCGCCGAGUUCGCUGAUCGAUCGGCACUGUGAAUAGGAUUCGCCAGGCAUAUCGAGAUGAGGAUGGCCGCAUUGAAGAUGCCCCUCGUUUAGGGAGACCACGAUCCACGUCGACAGAAGUAAACGAACUCGUCGUGGCAGCGGUGGUGGCUGAUCCAUUCCAGAGUGCGCGAGAAAUUCGAGCGGCCUUAUCUCUGAACAUCAGUGAGGCAACAAUCCGCUGACGCUUGCGUGAAGCUGGACCGAGCUGAUGCGUGGCUGCUCAGAAACCCUACUUAACAGAUCAGCAGAAGCGCGCUCGACUGGACUUUGUGCGAGCCCAUGAAGAAUGGUCGGUAGGUGAUUGGGGUGAGGUCAUCUUUACUGAUGAGUCGACUAUAACCUCAAGAUGGAAUCAACAGUGCCGAGUAUGGUGCCCGUACAACUGCAGGUUUUAGCCCGGGUACUUGCACAAUGUGCUCAGCAGUGAUCGCACGGCUGUGAAUGUUAGGGGAGCCAUCUGUAGAGAUGGACUGGGUUCGCUUGUGUAACUUCCAGCGAAGUUUAACGCGGCGUCCUACUGCGAUAUCCUUGACAGCUACCUCGUCCCGUUUGCCCUGGACGGGCCCUUUAAGGAUGGCUUUUACUGACUUCAGCAGGACCACAGCCCCAUCCACAAAGCCAAAGUCGUCGAAGACUUGUUAGAAGAGCGAGGAGUUCGGAAACUGCAAUGGGUGCCAAAGGGCGCGGACUUCAACAUUAUAGAAAAUGUGUGGGGAGUUCUUAAAUCCAACUUGGCACACAUGAACUUGGGUGCAACGAGCAAAGAAGAAUUGUGGCUUGCUGUUGCAGCGAAAUAGAACCGGAUUAAGCAAGACCGCGAGUUUGUGCAAUCUCUGUACGAUUCUCUGCCCCGGCGCAUGGAAGCAGCCAUUCGCGUUAACGGCAGUUUCACGCACUUCUGAACCGCAUUUGCUUUUGCACCUUGUAUUUUUUGUUCUUGUGAAACUAACUCGAUGAAAUUCUUCCUACUAAGAAAAAUAAAGAAUCCUGUUGUUACGUU